rnacentral:rRNA from 1 species
UACGUAGGGGGCAAGCGUUGUCCGGAUUUAUUGGGCGUAAAGCGCGCGUAGGCGGCCUGGUAAGUCGGAUGUGAAAACCCGGGGCUCAACCCCGGGCCUGCAUCCGAAACUGCCCGGCUAGAGGUAGGUAGGGGAGAUCGGAAUUCCUGGUGUAGCGGUGAAAUGCGCAGAUAUCAGGAGGAACACCGGUGGCGAAGGCGGAUCUCUGGGCCUUACCUGACGCUCAGGCGCGAAAGCUAGGGGAGCGAACAGG